rnacentral:tRNA from 4 species
CGGGGCGUAGCUUAGCCCGGUAGAGCGCCUGCUUCGGGAGCAGGAGGUCGGAGGUUCAAAUCCUCUCGCCCCGA